CCUACCUCGUCUCCCGUCUCCAGGGGCAGCCGUCUGCAUCUCGUUCCCCUCUCCCUCCGACAUGGCCGCCCCCAUCCACCGCCCACCCCCGCCGCCGCUGCCCUCACCCUCUCCCUGCCCAGGCCCCACAUCAAGCAGCGGCCAUGGCGUUCCCGGCCGCCGCGGUGCGUGAUUCCCACCUCUACCUCUGCCUCGCCGUGGAUGGGAAGGAGAUCGGAAUCCUCCAUGGACGGACGCACUGAUGGGGGUCUCGUCUGACGACGGAGGCGGACCACCAGGAGGAGUUGCCGUGAGACGACACCGACGGUCGGCUCCUUCUCCACAACAACACAACACCGACCGUGGGGACUCCCGUUCUUCCACCCUGACGGCCUCUCCUCCGGCGCCCCUGUUCUUCUUCCACUCCGGCACGAUGAUAAGCCACCGGCUCCCUCCUCUACUCCACUCUACUUGCAAUAUCUUUCAAGUUUCUAUAUCACCUAAAAAAGGCCGGUCUGAACCAGAGAAACACGUUUCAGUUCUGUAGGCUUUCAGUUUUUAUAGCUUCUCAACAAGUGCUAAAUUAGCCCUGCUCUUGUCUAUAUCAGCUAUUCCUACAAGGGUUCUUGACUUCUUGUAUGUGCCAAAUUUUGUGAAAAAAAAACUGUUCUUGGCACAUCAAUGUGUUUGCAGCUAUUUACUUGAUACAAGGAUGCGAAAGUGUUUGCAACUUGUCAUGACAUCAAAGCCUCUGUUGUACAUGUGUCAAGGAUGAGAUUCACAUGAUAAUUGUUUUGUUUGGGCCUUAUGCUGUACUGUAUACAACUGAAUUACUUUUUGUGUUUUAUGAUUUAGUCAGUAGCCAAUCAAUGUCAGUGAUAAUAUGUAUCUUGUGAUUCUUUCUUCGUGUGCCGGUCAUGGUUCCCUGAUGCGGUUUAGAUUUUGUGAUUCCCUGACGAGGUUCCCUCACACACGCAGGUGCACGACAGAGCCGGCUGCGUGUGGUGCGUGCGGGGGGAUUCUUCUUCCACUCUGGCAAUCUGAGAGCAGCCAAGCAAGCUUAUUGAGAUAUGUAUCUUGCGAUUCUUUGUGUGCCGGUUACGUCUGCGGGUACGGCUGCACGAGUUCAUGUCUGUCAUUCACACAUGCAAAUUGUGAUGCCUGCUGCUUGCGACAGUUUUGCCCCUGUUCUUCUUCUACUCCGGCAAGAUGGAUUCAAACUUGGUUCUGAAAAGCACACCACAGAGGUCACCGUGAAGAAGUCUGGAAGCCUGCUUAUAAAUUCUGGGAUACAAGGAUACUCCCUGCUAAAGACAACUCAGGAUUCGUGAGGGAUCGCUACACUCUUCUUCCUGAAACAAGAGAAAGAAUUGUAGCUACAGAAGUAACUGCUUGGUGGAGCAGAUGAGAGUCUGGAAUGUUCCAUCCAAAUAGUUUAAUCAGAAACUGCACUGGCAAAGGUCUAGAGGAUGUAGAGGAGCUCCAGUUUGAUCCUAAGGAUGGCAUUGCUUUUUUUCUUCUUAUGCUCCAGUUUGCAGCAGCAUCUCCGACACCCUCUCGACGAAUUGCAGGUAGAUUGUAGCUGAGGAUGCGGCGAUGACCACCAAGGUAUGCCCUUCUCUCCUUGCCCUUCAUGCUGGCUUCAACAAGGCCGAAAGAUCUUCAGUCUUUUACAAGGACCGGAGUGCAUGCUCGGUGGCAGAAGCAUCAGGGUGCUCCACGCUCAACAUCUUCUCAGCAUAGCUGCUCGAUCAGUAGUUUUGAUUGAUCUAUUUGAUAAUUUAAGCCAUCCAGUUGAUGUUCUUGGUUCGCUCAUGCUCUUUUCUUAUGUUGUUGUUUAAUCACUAUUGGCUUGGAUAUUCUCUAUAGCAUCUCAACAAUUCACUGCAAUUGGCCAGGUUAUUCUGUAUAUUUGAUAUUGUACGAGAGUAGCAGUCGGACUCAAAAAAUCACAACAUUCUGCAGGUACAACAACCACUUGACGCCGAACCUUGAUCUCAUGUUAUAUGAAUAGGUUAUAAAUUUUUAGUAACUAAAUUCACAUUAGUUUUUGAAGCACAAAUUGAUGUCUGUAAGUUAUUUAGGAUAGCAUUUUGCUCCAUUUGGUAGAUAUAUAACAAGACAAUAUAGAGGGAUGUAGAGAGCUAUUUUUUUGUUAAAAUAAACAGUGGAAACGGUUAGCUUUAAUCAGAUAUGUUUGCUGAAAUCCAUUUGGAUAUUUUUUCUCUUUUCUUAGUUUGGUCGCACAUGGAUCAGCUUAGUGUGUCUUAUCUUUUUCACUAAAGUGUGGAUAUUUAUGUAUAGAGUAAAACGUGUCCAUGCUAUUUAUUUUCCAUAGUCAUUGUUGCCUAUACCAUAUUUAAAUUGCUGUCUUUAUUGUCCUUAUCUGAUGAUAGCCCAUUGGGAAAUGAAAGAAAGUGGGUUAAAUACUUUGUUUCUUUAUUUUAGGUCCAAAUUUACAUUGAUCGUUUAGUGGUUCAUCGAAAUUGUUCUGCCUAUGACUUUGAAAUUGGCCAGUAAAAGCCAACAUCCACCCUCUUCACAGCCGCAGUCAGGGAUUCGUUCAUUUUAGUGUGAGUAAGGAUGGGAACAUUGAUCUGUAUAUGGUAAUAUUUCAUGCUGAUUUCAUUUCUCAUUUCAUUGAUCAUCCGUGUUACUCCUUUGACAAAUGAUAUUUAUAGUACUUCUGGAUGACAAAGACUUUGAGUUCUGUGUGAAGCUCCAAAAGGAAUACCUAUAAGACUCCUUCAUCAACUUAGUAAGAUUGCAUAUGCCCUUUGCGUUGCACAGGUCCAACGCCUCGCUCCUCUACUCAUAGUGAAAAAAAAACUUAGGUACUCUGAAAUUUAUCUUUUCUUCCCCUCACGCUUUGUUAGGUUAGAUCAAUAGUUUUAUCUUAUUGGACCUGUGCAUUUUGAGAGUCCGAAAUGGGAACAUUAAAUUUACUUGGACCCUAUCUUAUUCUCAUAUCUGUAACUAGCUUUGCUUGUCAUUUAGAAGGGACGACCUAAGGAGUAGAGAGAUUCGAGACAAUCAAAAUCCUGCAUAUGUAUGUUUACAGGCGUUUGAUAAUCCUACGCCAGGGCCACAUAUAUAGGGACAUUCAAAAUUCUACACCAGGUUCACGUAUAUAGGGACAUAUUCAGCUGAGGUUCACGUAUAUACAAACCUGAAACUGUAUGCUUUUACACCAGGUUCACGUAUAUAGGGACAUAUUCAGCUGAGGUUCACGUAUAUACAAACCUGAAACUGUAUGCUUCAAACCGGAUGUGGCAGUAAUCCACUCAUCAUGCAAAACAAAACAAAAAUCUGUUACCUAGCAUGUAUUUGUUUGUACAGAUGAUGCCAUGUACUACAUUUUGUUUGCAUAAUCCAGCACCUAGCAUGUAUUUGUUAUAAUCGAGCACCGCGACGAAUCUGUUAUUUACCUUAGGAGGGUAAGAAAAAACACAAUCAAUGAUAUUAUACAUAAUUCUAGACAUUGUUUUAGAGUAUGUUCUGAAGUAUAUUUUUCUUCCAGUAAAUGUUGGAAAUGUCUAUGUACUUUUUUCUCCCAAUAUGUUAUGGUCAUCUUCCUGCUAUGCAUAUAAAUUUCAUGGCCAGCUUACUAGCUGGUGGUUGGCGAUCCUUUCUAUCUUCUUCCUCGCCGGCUCGAUAAAUCUCUCGGUUUCCUUCUCCUACCACUCGUCCUCCCUUGUGCUCUGUAACUCGGCCAUUGAUGUGGCUGUUAGUAAUAAGAUGGUAAUAUUUGUUUUAUAGAAAUACUUGUUUUUUUGCGGGUGUUUAGAAAUACUUGUUAGUUGCACAGGUGUACCCUGCAAGGAAUAAUUUUACAAUGGACAUGCAUAUCUGUUGAAUUGAUGACUAAACAAGUUUGCGGGCACAUAUCUGAAAAUACAAGCAAAUACAGACAUAGAUUUAAGGGUUCUCAUUCAUUUAAAUCUCAAUGUUGAGAGAAGCCGAUCUCUGGAUAUGAGUAUUUUCUUCCCUGUUUGCGUGAUUGUUUAAUUGAAUGGAUAACUGUGUCUCCUGAAUAUUGUCCCAUAUAAUUGUUUUAAAUCUACCGAAUUAGUUCUCUAAAUCAGUUGAUAUUUUGCAAAGCUUCAAGCUUUAGUUUUUGCACUUCAUGACAUCAAUUGUUUGUGCAGAUUCAAGAUUUAUUUCUGUACUGGAUGAUAGCAGUGAUUAGUGGAUUACUGUCACACGCUGCUGUUGUCAUCCAUAUCUCCUCAAGCGCCUUAGGUUUGUGAUGCGUAAGUUGUUGUACAUAUGUAAAUUGUUCUGUUCUUCUUUCGCCAAAACAUUAAUAAGCCCGCGAUACACUUUGCUUCUUUUUUAUCUAAUGUCUAUUUGUAGACUAAGUGUUUUAUUUAUGAUAGUGGAUUUCUGGCGUACAUGUGAAUAUCUCAUGUAUAUACAAUCAGUACACUCACCUGAACGAGAAUGGUGGCAAGCAGAGCGGGGUUGCGUCUUGUCCUUCUAGCGUCGAAGGUCCGGUGCACCCAUGGGUGUGCCUUUGCUAGUUUCUGACUGUCACAAAGAAGUCAGAGCUGUGGGCGGCGAGGCCACUGCGGCAACGAUGACUAUGAGGACAGUUUUCAGCAAGCGGUGCUCCCCGAAUGUUGCGUUGAACUACGUCUUUGCGUGGCUUGCAACCUUCUCCUAUGAAGCCCGUAUGCAAAAUCGAAACUGUCAUGUCCUCGGUGUUGUGCUCGACUAUUCAUUGUUGCUUUGUGGCUCCGUGCUUCCUCUCCACAGUUAUAUCAUUUUUUGUGAUGUAAUCUUAUUAGUGGUUGGGUCAUCCAUGCGAGCCCCUUCUGAAGUUUGUAGUCUAGGUUAGAUACAUCCGUAUGUAGACAAAUUGAAGACAAAUAAUAUGGAAAGGAGGGAGUAUAUUAUUUGA